rnacentral:rRNA from 1 species
AGAGUUUGAUCCUGGCUCAGGACUAACGCUGGCGGCGUGCUUAACACAUGCAAGUUGAACGGAGCAUUGCAAGUAGCAAUACGAGCAGUGCUUAGUAGCGGACGGGUGAGUAACGCGUGAGCAACCUGCCUUUGUGAGGGGGACAACAGCCGGAAACGGCUGCUAAUACCGCAUGAGACCACUACUCCGAGUGGAGUUGGGGUAAAAGAUUUUAUCGCACAAAGGUGGGCUCGCGUCCCAUUAGCUAGUUGGUGAGGUAACGGCCCACCAAGGCGACGAUGGGUAGCCGACCUGAGAGGGUGAUCGGCCACACUGGAACUGAGACACGGUCCAGACUCCUACGGGAGGCAGCAGUGGGGAAUAUUGGGCAAUGGGCGCAAGCCUGACCCAGCAACGCCGCGUGAGGGAAGAAGGUCUUCGGAUUGUAAACCUCUGUCCUUGGGAACGAAGGAAGUGACGGUACCCAAGGAGGAAGCUCCGGCUAACUACGUGCCAGCAGCCGCGGUAAUACGUAGGGAGCGAGCGUUGUCCGGAAUUACUGGGCGUAAAGGGUGCGUAGGCGGCGAAGCAAGUCAGAUGUGAAAUCCCCGGGCUUAACUCGGGGGGUGCAUUUGAAACUGCAUUUGCUUGA